ACAAACGACUCUCGGCAACGGAUAUCUCGGCUCACGCAUCGAUGAAGAACGUAGCAAAAUGCGAUACUUGGUGUGAAUUGCAGAAUCCCGUGAACCAUCGAGUUUUUGAACGCAAGUUGCGCCCGAAGCCAUCCGGUUGAGGGCACGCCUGCCUGGGCGUCACGC
rnacentral:rRNA from 1 species